rnacentral:rRNA from 1 species
AACGAACGCUGGCGGCAUGCCUAACACAUGCAAGUCGAACGAGACCUUCGGGUCUAGUGGCGCACGGGUGCGUAACGCGUGGGAACCUGCCCUUAGGUUCGGAAUAACUCCCCGAAAGGGGUGCUAAUACCGGAUAAUGUCUUCGGACCAAAGAUUUAUCGCCUUUGGAUGGGCCCGCGUUGGAUUAGCUAGUUGGUAGGGUAAAAGCCUACCAAGGCGACGAUCCAUAGCUGGUCUGAGAGGAUGAUCAGCCACACUGGGACUGAGACACGGCCCAGACUCGUACGGGAGGGAGCAGUGGGGUGUAUAGGACGAGGAGCGAUAGCCUGAUCAAGCAAUGCCGCGUGAGAGAUGAAGGCCUUAGGAUUGUAAAGCUGUUUUAGCCGGGAUGAUAGUGACAGUACCGGGUGAAUAAGCACCGGCUAACUCCGUG